rnacentral:rRNA from 1 species
GACGAACGCUGGCGGCGUGCUUAACACAUGCAAGUCGAACGGCAACGCCCUGCUCUUGUUGGCUGCUCGAGUGGCAAGCGGGUGAGUAACACGUGAGCAUCCUGCCCUUGACUUUGGGAUAACUUCAGGAAACUGGGGCUACUACCGGAUAGGAGCUCCUGCUGCAUGGUGGGGGUUGGAAAGCUUCGGCGUUGGGGGAUGGACUCGGGGCUUAUCAGCUUGUUGGUGGGGUAUUGGCCUACCAAGCCAUUGGCGGGUAGCCGGCCUGGGAGGGGGACCGGCCACAAUGGUACUGAGGUAGGGCCCAGUCGCCAACGGUAGGCAGCGGUGGGGAAUAUUACACAACGGGCGGAAGCCUGAGACAGCGACGCCGCGUUCGUGAUGACGGCCUGCGGGGGAUGAACCGCUUUCGCCUGUGACGAAGCGGGAGUGACGGUAAUGGGUAAAGAAGCACCGGCUAACUACGUG